GAUGAACGCUGGCGGCGUGCCUAAUACAUGCAAGUCGAGCGAAGCGGGGACGGGUGAGUAACACGUGGAUAACCUCCUAUAAGACUGGGAUAAAUUCGGGAAACCGGUGCUAAAACGGAUACUUAUAGAUGGCUCCGCGCUGCAUUAGCUAGUUGGUAAGGUAACGGCUUACCAAGGCCACGAUGCAUAGCCGACCUGAGAGGAUGAUCGGCCACACCGGAACUUAGACACGGCCCAGACUCCUACGGGAGGCAGCAGUAGGGAAUCUUCCGCAAUGGGCGAAAGCCUGACGGAGCAACGCCGCGUGAGUGAAGAAGGUCUUCGGAUCGUAAAACUCUGUUAUUAGGGAAGCGGUAUCUAACCAGAAAGCCACGGCUAACUACGUGCCAGCAGCCGCGGUAAUAC
rnacentral:rRNA from 1 species